UAAAAUGAUUUGAUUUUUGGUCCAUCUUUCUUAUAUAUAAUUUAAGUUAUUUCAUUUUCUUUAUUUAUUAUUUCGUAGAAUAAAAUUUCACAUGCGCUUCUUUUAGUUGGGUUUUUAGCCCAUUAAUUUAGAUUGGCCUGGAAUUUGAUUUAGAUUGGCCUGGAGUACAAUAGUUACUCCAAGUGUACCGUAUACUAAUUGCAAAUUUUCACGCUCCUAAAGCAAAAGCCCCAAUAUUUUAUUCUCUCUCUCUCUCUCUCUCUCUCUCCCACUGUUUGCUGGUUCAGGUGCUCUCUUCUCCUUCCAUGGGUUUGGGUACUUGCGGUCUGCUAUUGGAAUUCUGGAGGUGGAGGAAACUACUUAUAAGUUUCAGAAGAAGCUAUUCAAUUGGUAGAUUAAGAGUGUUACUUGCAGCAAGAUUCUCAAGGUAUAUUCACAUCCUUUAUUAUUUCAAUAUUGAGACAUUCUAUGAUUUGCUGUUAUUUGAGAUAUGCUACUAAUUAAUAGUUGAUAGAUUUAUUUUGCAUUGUGUUUAUAAAUUAGCAUUUAACAUUAUGUAGGAAAUUAGGAAUAAAAUGAAUUCAUUUACUCAGUGUAAAUGAUAAAAAGCAGGUUAUAUGAGUGCUAGCUUUAUUUUUCCUCGGCGAUUGCAAAUAUUUGAGCGGGUAUGAAUUCCAUUAAUUUAUGAAAAUUUUGUAGUUUGUCUAAUCCUUUUUCGUGUAUGUGAUGUUGGCUUUCCUGUGUGUGUGAACCCCAUAUUUUUGAACUUUCGUCUUGGUUGUGACCCUUUAGUUAUUGGACUUUGAUAGGCGGUCGCACACCUAGCAAAAAUAACCUAACUAACCACUACUAUGUAGACAGGCAAGUAAGGGUCGAAUCCCAAGAAACUAAAGUUCAACUAAUUAAUUAGACUCAAAUUCUUACUUGGCAAUAAUCAACAAUGAUCGAAUAACUAAAGAACUAAUGUAUGGAAAAUCGAAAAUAAACUAAGGAAUAUGAUAAUCAAAUAAUUAAAACAUCCAAGAUCUAGUAUCACCACAAUUACGCUUGAUGCAAUUAUAUUUCUACCCCUGACAUACGAUUCCAAUUGAAAGGGAAAAAGUAAACCCUAAUUAAUACCAAGGACCUUUCUCGAGUAUCAAUGACUUCCCUAACAUACAAUCAAGCCUAUUCUCAUGGUAUCAUGCACAUUAGAGACAUUAAACACAUUACUCUAACUUCCUAAUUAUCAACCCAACUAUUCUCAUGUUGAAAAUCAAACCCUAAAUUAAUCUACUCAAAUCCGUUUAAACCCAACUCUCGCUGUGUUAGAAACAAUGGUAGUUAGAUUGUGCUAGGUGUGCAAACCGCCUAUCAAAUUUUGGCGCCGUUGCCGGGGACUAACUGAUAACUUGCUAUUUUAUGCGGUUUUAGGGCGUAUUUG